UACAGGGGGUGCAAACGUUGCUCGGAAUUAUUGGGCGUAAAGCGCGCGUAGGCGGCCACUUAAGUCGGAUGUGAAAGCCCCUGGCUCAACUGGGGAAGUGCACCCGAAACUGAGCGGCUUGAAUGCAAAAGAGGGUCGCGGAAUUCCCGGUGUAGAGGUGAAAUUCGUAGAUAUGCGGAGGAACACCGAUGGCGAAGGCAAUCCCCUGGGCCUGCACUGACGCUCAUGCACGAAAGCGUGGGGAGCAAACAGG
rnacentral:rRNA from 1 species